rnacentral:rRNA from 1 species
ACAGGGAUUGCCCCAGUAACGGCGAGUGAAGCGGCAACAGCUCAAAUUUGAAAUCUGGCCCCCCGGCCCGAGUUGUAAUUUGGAGAGGAUGCUUCUGGCGCGGCGCCGUCCGAGUUCCUUGGAACAGGACGCCACAGAGGGUGAGAGCCCCGUACGGACGGACGCCUAGCCUCUACGAAGCUCCUUCGACGAGUCGAGUAGUUUGGGAAUGCUGCUCAAAAUGGGAGGUAAAUUUCUUCUAAAGCUAAAUACCGGCCAGAGACCGAUAGCGCACAAGUAGAGUGAUCGAAAGAUGAAAAGCACUUUGAAAAGAGGGUUAAAAAGUACGUGAAAUUGUUGAAAGGGAAGCGCCUGUGACCAGACUUGCGCCCCGCGGACCACCCGGCGUUCUCGCCGGUGCACUCUGCGGUGCGCAGGCCAGCAUCGGUUCUCCCAGGGGGACAAAGGCCGCGGGAACGUAGCUCCUUCGGGAGUGUUAUAGCCCGCGGCGGCAUGCCCCUGGGGGGACCGAGGACCGCGCUUCGGCAAG